rnacentral:rRNA from 1 species
AGUGAACGCUGGCGGUAGGCCUAACACAUGCAAGUCGAACGGCAGCACAGUAAGGGCUUGCUCUUACGGGUGGCGAGUGGCGGACGGGUGAGGAAUACAUCGGAAUCUACUUUUUCGUGGGGGAUAACGUAGGGAAACUUACGCUAAUACCGCAUACGACCUACGGGUGAAAGCAGGGGAUCUUCGGACCUUGCGCGAUUGAAUGAGCCGAUGUCGGAUUAGCUAGUUGGCGGGGUAAAGGCCCACCAAGGCGACGAUCCGUAGCUGGUCUGAGAGGAUGAUCAGCCACACUGGAACUGAGACACGGUCCAGACUCCUACGGGAGGCAGCAGUGGGGAAUAUUGGACAAUGGGCGCAAGCCUGAUCCAGCCAUACCGCGUGGGUGAAGAAGGCCUUCGGGUUGUAAAGCCCUUUUGUUGGGAAAGAAAAGCAGCAGGUUAAUACCCCGCUGUUCUGGCGGUACCCAAAGAAUAAGCACCGGCUAACUUCGUG